GUACACUCCUACGGGAGGCAGCAGUGGGGAAUAUUGGACAAUGGGCGCAAGCCUGAUCCAGCCACGCCGCGUGAGUGAUGAAGGCCCUAGGGUUGUAAAGCUCUUUCACCGGUGAAGAUAAUGACGGUAACCGGAGAAGAAGCCCCGGCUAACUUCGUGCCAGCAGCCGCGGUAAUACGAAGGGGGCUAGCGUUGUUCGGAUUUACUGGGCGUAAAGCGCACGUAGGCGGACUAUUAAGUCAGGGGUGAAAUCCCGGGGCUCAACCCCGGAACUGCCUUUGAUACUGGUAGUCUUGAGUUCGAGAGAGGUGAGUGGAAUUCCGAGUGUAGAGGUGAAAUUCGUAGAUAUUCGGAGGAACACCAGUGGCGAAGGCGGCUCACUGGCUCGAUACUGACGCUGAGGUGCGAAAGCGUGGGGAGCAAACAGGAUUAGAAACCCGGGUAGUCCC
rnacentral:rRNA from 1 species